AACCUUAUGGACCUGCGGGCGUAUACCUGGGAGGGAUCAUUAACCUUUCAAAUCAGGGUGCGGCGCGGCCCCCGAGGAGCGGAAACAAUCCUUGGGAGGUAUGCGGGGGCUUCGAGCCCCCCAUUUACGCACGCACGACUGCCAUCCUUACUUUACGAGCACCUUCUGUUCUCCCUCGGCGGGGCAACCUGCCGUUGGAACCGAAUAAACUCUUUUUGCAUCUAGCAUUACCUGUUCCGA
rnacentral:misc_RNA from 1 species